rnacentral:rRNA from 1 species
AAGGGAGAGUAACGGGUGGUUACUUACCCUCAGGACCGGAAUAGUGUCGGGAAACUGACAGUAAUGCCGGAUAAUAUCUUUGGAUCAAAGGUGUGAUUCCGCCUGGGGAUAGGACCGCUUUCUAUUAGCUUGUUGGCGGGGUAAUGGCCCACCAAGGCUGCGAUGGAUACCGGGUGUGAGAGCAUGGCCCGGCUCACUGGGACUGAGACACUGCCCAGACACCUACGGGUGGCUGCAGUCGAGAAUCUUCGGCAAUGGGCGCAAGCCUGACCGAGCGACGCCGCGUGCGGGAUGAAGGCCUUCGGGUUGUAAACCGCUGUCAGUUGGGAGGAAGGCGCUGUGAAGAGCAGCGUUUGACCGAUCUUCAGAGGAAGGACGGGCUAAGUUCGUGCCAGCAGCCGCGGUAAGACGAACCGUCCGAACGUUAUUCGGUAUCACUGGGCUUAAAGAGUUCGUAGGCGGCCUAGUAGGUGAGGUGUGAAAUCCAACGGCUCAACCGUUGAAUUGCGCUUCAAACCGCUAGGCUCGAGGAUGGCAGGGGUGUUGGGAACAGAUGGUGGAGCGGUGAAAUGCGUUGA